CCCUGUCCCUGAAAAAAGAAAAUAAUAAAUGAAAUUUAAAAACAACAAAAAACCCCACUGGUCUAAAUAUUCUUCUUCUAUAAAUAUGUGUCAUGCAUAUGUAUUUAGUUCCACCAUAACCUUCACACCAAGACAUACAGAUUAUUUAAUUUUUAAAAAUCAAAGUAAAGUAACCACCAAGUUCCCACUCUCCAGAGAUUAUUGAAAAUUUAAGCUUGGUCAUCAUUGUUGUUCUUUUCACCUUCACCCUCUCAGGGUCCUGCAAUGGUUACAGGGUCUCAUGCAGCCUGGACUUUCAGGGAGGGUCAUCUGUUCUUGGAUCUGAUUUCUUGUGGUCCUUAAAAGAUAGAGGACUCUACUCCAUGCAUAACAUGCUGGCCAGGAUGGACCUGCUGGCGUGAGACCCUGGCGCCAGGACACAGCGCUAUAAGUGCACCAUGCAGCCAUGCCCUGAGGUUCUGCCCCCCGGAGGGGUUCUGCAAUGCGGUAGGUCCCUCCCCUCCUGGAACUCACCCUUUACGCCCUCCCAGAGCUAAGAGAAUCUCCUAGCGACAGACACUUUGUUCUCUCGUGUUCCAUGCAAGUGUGGGAGCCUCUGCCUCUCAGGGACUGUGACUCGCUGCUUCUUAUCUCUGCCCUGCAGUCCUGGAAGCCCCAGGUCUCCUGGGAUCAAAUCCUCCCAUGGCUUGAUGCCCACGGAUAAAGACUCUCUCUUGCCUGCUUCCUACCUGGCUAACAGGCCGUUCUGCAGGGGAGCACAGCAGCGCCGUGGCAGCACCACCUGCGUCAGAAUCCACAAAGGGCUAUGGAAUGCACGGACCAACUUAUAAAAAACGUCCUUGUGUGAGGACCAGGAGCUUGCUAAUGGCCCCCGGUUUCAAAAUCAAGCUAGACUUAGAUAGUGAGGAUGGUGACAACGCAGUGUGCUCAGCUUUCCAUGCUUUCUAUACUUUAUGCAGAUUCUCAGUGAGGUCUCCAGGGAGCUCCAACUGACAGCACCAAUGAGCCGAUCGAUGGUGAUGGAAAGGCGGCCCUCGAUGGGAUUCACAAAUUACUUAACCUGGAAAAUGUUCAUUUAGAAGCUAAGGAAUAUUCUACUGCCUAAUUGCUUACCAUAACAAACAUCCUAGAUGGAAAACUACUGGACCAUAACAGCCUUAAAGGCAUUCUGGUUGUAGCUAAAAGUGAUGAAAAUGCCAUCACAGGUGAACUUCAAUAUGGACAUGGACUGUGCUUUUAUGACAUUCUGAGCACUUAAGUUUUAUUCUUAGGUCAGCUCUUUCCACAAAAGAAUCAUGCUAGAUCUCUGACAAUACUGACCCGUGCUGUUCUACUCCCCUGUCACAGGACAACAAUAAGUGUAAUGACUGCUUUGAUGGCUAGGAUGGACAGCAAAAGUCAUAGCUCUAUCUCAGAUCUCCUGUGUCACCUUUAUUUAUGCUCUCUAAGUUUGAAAAAUAUGAGGCAACUGCAUUCUGACCCACAGAGCUAAUGUUGGGAAAAAAUCCACCCCAAACAAGGUACAAAGAAGCAGAAUUCAUGAAAGUCUGACAGCACCCAACAGCGACAGAUGCAGGGGAGCCAUUGCAGCAGAUUAGUGGCUAUGCGGGUUGGGGCACUGGGCACUAAUCUGGGAUUGUAGAAACUGGGGCUGCAACUAAAAGAUAAUACAUGUUUCGCCCUGUAGUAGUUAAAAUGCUUUUAAGCAGCACAGAUGUAGAGGCAUCUGCAAAAUGAGGGCAUUCAGCCAUCUGCUACCGUCCCUGGUCACCUGCACACACCCCUUGUCAGCUGUGCAGACCUGCAGCCUGCGGAGGGGAGCCGGGCUGAAGGAAAGGAGGGCAAAGGAGAGGUGGUUUCCAGAGCAGGCGGGACACCUCUGUGCACGUACAAUAAAUAUUGCUGGUGACUUCUGGAUGAAACGAGUUAAUACUAUGCUUCAUUUUCCUGAAGACUGAGGCCAAAUGUGGCAUUGGUCAGGAAAUGCUUUAUUUACCUUUGGCCAAAAGUCACUUAUCCAAUCAACUAAUAUUUAUUGAACACCUGUUUUAUGUCACGCUGGGGAGGCAGAUCUAAAAGAUAUCCAAGUAAAAUGCUAUGAAGAAAAAUAGAGCAAGAAAAAGGGGUAGCAAGUGGCAAGAGAUCUAUCCCAUGGUAGAGAGAUGGAUUUUAUUUGGAGAAACAGAAUGUAGACAGUGAAUUUGCAUAAUAGUGGUUAGGGAAAAACUAUGAUUUUUAAAAAUGGUAUUCAACUUUUUGUAUCUUUAUUCUAAUAAUCAUUCUAUAAAAGAAUCAGUUUCUCCUAUGAAAAAACAUAACAUACUAUUUUCAAGGAUAGCGUAUUUAUGCAUAAAGGUAUAUAUGUGCUAUAUCAAUUAUUAAUUAAGCAAUUAAGUUCCAAGAUGUCACAGGUUGAGUACUGCAGAAACAUGCUGAGUGGGAGCUUGGUGGGCAGGGAAUUUAUCAGAGAUCAACACCUGUGGAAAGGAGAUGAAGGAAGCAGGGUUUCCUUCCUUAGGAAUCAACAUGCAAAAAAAUUUAACAUUGCAAUACACACACACACACACACACACACACACACACACUAAGGAAAGACCUGCUCAAGAAAUUCACAAAAUAGCCAGGUGUAUACAAAAAUUUCAAUUUCAUUGAUCUUGAAAUUAUAUAUAAAUCAAAGUAAUAAAACAAUAAGAUACCGUUUUCUAUCAUCACAUCAGACAAGGAUAAAGAAAAAUUAUAGAACUUAACAAGAGUAAAGAUUGGGAAAAUGAGCACUCUUAUGCAACUACUGGUGGGAGUGUGAAUUGGCAUAAUAUUUCAGGAAAGCAAUUUUGCAAUCUAUGUGUAAAGCCUUAAAAUAUAUGUGCCUGACAAGCCAGCUGCAUUGCUGUGUAACAAAUUACCCAAAACUUAGUUGCUCAAAAAUAAUAGACAUGCAUUAUUCCAUGGUUUCUAUGGAAUUUGAGAAUAGCUUAGCUGAGUUGUUCUAGCUCAGGGUCUCUCGUGGCUUGCAAUGGAGAUGUCAGCUGAGGAUGCCGUCAUCUGAAGGCUGGACGGGGGCUGGAGAGCUGCUUCCAAGAUGGCACACUCUCACGGCUAUUGGCAAGGGGCCUCAGUUUCUCCAUGGCUACUGGCAGGAGGCCUCAGUUUUACUAUGUGGGCCUCUCCACAGGCUGCUCGAGUGUCACUGACAUGGCAGCUAACUUCCCUCGGAUGAGUGAUCCAACAGCAAGAUGGAAAUCACAAUGUCUUUUAUGACCUACAGCCGGAAGUCAUGCUCCGUCAUUUACACACAUUCUAUUCAUUAGAAAUGAGUCACCAGGUUCACCCCACACUCAAGAGGGAGGAAACCAGCUGCACAGAGAGAGGCUAAUCAAAGAUUCUGUGGACUGUUAUAAAAACUACCAGUUUGCCUACUGACCACAAAUUAUUUACAUUCCCUUACAUGCAAAAUAUGUUCACCCUCUGCUAAGAUCUCCCAAAAUUCUCAUGCCUAAAUAGCAUCCAGUCAAAAUCCAUCUAAAUAUCUAAUAUCUGAUAUCUAAAUCAGCUCCAGGGGACAAGGCUCCUCAGGUAUGGUUGAGGAAGCACAGCUUCUCUGGCACAGUGGCUCUUGGUCUGAAGACACAUGGAGCAACUUUAAAAGCAUCUCUGGUAUGCCUCUAAAAACCCAAAACUCUUCUUUACCAGAUUUUUUUUUCCUAAAUAGGGCAGGUCUGCAAAGAUGGAAAGAAGAGGAAAUACUAAAAAUAACUUUCCCCAAUUAGUGAGAACCGAACACAUAUGGUAAGAUGGAAAUAGUUUUAGAUGGCCCAAAGUAACACUGUGAUGCAGAAUGAACUCCCCAAGCACAGGGAAUAAUUAGAAACAGCCACAAAAACUUACUCAAGACGUUGUGGGAACAACUGCUGACUAGGAUAUUUAGGGCAGGCAGAAGACCCUGAAGAGGUGAUUAUGGUCUUGCAACUUUUAGAACCUGUAGAAGUUGAGGAACCGGCUCUGAAAGUGUUCCUAUCCAAUCCUUUUCAUGAAGGUACAGGUGCUGGGUUCCUUCUUGGAAAGUCGGGCAUUUUGGCUCUCUUACUAGAAAUUCUAGGGAGGGUAGAGGAUCAGAGUCCCACCUUUCAUGAAACCCAGAGGCAAAUGGCUCAGCCACUCCUUUUCCACUCCUUUUCCU